UUGAAAUCGUUGCAGAUAAUUUAACCGUACGAUGAUUGAACAGAUCAGGUUUAUUGUUAACAAGCAAAGCACAACAGGUCGGAUAGUUGCAAUUUCCCAGGUGUCCUGAAGCAGCGCAAGGACGAGGCUCCGUAUCCAAAUGUUUAGCAAGCCCUUCCUGCUGUGUUUGCUUCAAACAGAGUAGGAGCCACGAUGCAGUUUCUCAGCUCAUAAUUUGCCGACAAAGCGAGGUGAAAAUCUGUCAUUCCCAAGCAACUACAGUAUCCAAGCCACAAGGUUCUACUCUUCUCCCGGUAGUCCGAAGUCCUGCACCGUGACAUUGCUCUACUGCCUGCUUGAGUAUGCAUAAUAGACACCCCCCCCCGGUGAUUGAUGCCCAGGGAAGGGGAGAGGAAAUCUAUCCCCGGGUUGCGGCGUAGACUGUUGAUGUGUGACCCCGCAGAGGCCGGAGCACAGCUGAUGGGUCGCGGGCUCCGGAGAACUCGGAAGACAGAUGAGGCUGUGAGAGUUCCAAAUGGGAAAAAAGGCAAAUGUUCUUCUUCUUUGUUUUUUAUCACAUGGGGAGAAAAAAUGGCAGC